AGACACGGUCCAGACUCCUACGGGAGGCAGCAGUGGGGAAUUUUGGACAAUGGGCGCAAGCCUGAUCCAGCAAUGCCGCGUGAGUGAAGAAGGCCUUCGGGUUGUAAAGCUCUUUUGUCAGGGAAGAAACGGUAUGGGCUAAUAUCCCGUACUAAUGACGGUACCUGAAGAAUAAGCACCGGCUAACUACGUGCCAGCAGCCGCGGUAAUACGUAGGGUGCAAGCGUUAAUCGGAAUUACUGGGCGUAAAGCGUGCGCAGGCGGUUUUAUAAGUUUGUCGUGAAAGCCCCGGGCUCAACCUGGGAAUGGCGAUGAAGACUGUAAGGCUAGAGUGUGUCAGAGGGGGGUAGAAUUCCACGUGUAGCAGUGAAAUGCGUAGAUAUGUGGAGGAACACCGAUGGCGAAGGCAGCCCCCUGGGAUAACACUGACGCUCAUGCACGAAAGCGUGGGGAGCAAACAGGAUUAGAUACCCUGGUAGUCCACGCCCUAAACGAUGUCUACUAGUUGUCGGGUCUUAAUUGACUUGGUAACGCAGCUAACGCGUGAAGUAGACCGCCUGGGGAGUACGGUCGCAAGAUUAAAACUCAAAGGAAUUGAC
rnacentral:rRNA from 2 species